rnacentral:rRNA from 1 species
UGCUACAAUGGCGCAUACAAAGAGAAGCGACCUCGCGAGAGCAAGCGGACCUCAUAAAGUGCGUCGUAGUCCGGAUUGGAGUCUGCAACUCGACUCCAUGAAGUCGGAAUCGCUAGUAAUCGUGGAUCAGAAUGCCACGGUGAAUACGUUCCCGGGCCUUGUACACACCGCCCGUCACACCAUGGGAGUGGGUUGCAAAAGAAGUAGGUAGCUUAACCUUCGGGAGGGCGCUUACCACUUUGUGAUUCAUGACUGGGGUGAAGUCGUAACAAGGUAACCGUAGGGGAACCUGCGG